rnacentral:lncRNA from 1 species
UUCACCAUUCAACCCUAGAGCAGUCGCCGCCCCACUUCAGCCAUCAUCGCGCACAACACUCUAGUGAGAGAGUCCUCGUUACGGUCGCAUAGUCGAAACCAUCAUCGGUCGUAGCCUCCACUUGCACAGCACCGCCGGACAUCAUCGCGCUUGACAGUCAAGGAUGCAAGCCAUAACAAUUUUCUUUUCGCGAGCCACACGUCCAAGCCGCGUCAGUUCAAG